UACGUAGGUGGCAAGCGUUAUCCGGAAUUAUUGGGCGUAAAGCGCGCGCAGGCGGUUUCUUAAGUCUGAUGUGAAAGCCCCCGGCUUAACUGGGGAGGGUCAUUCGAUACUGCUUGGCUCGAAGACAGGAGAGGGAAGCGGAAUUCCCGGUGUAGUGGUGAAAUGCGUAGAUAUCGGGAGGAACACCAGUGGCGAAGGCGGCUUUCUGGCCUGUUCUUGACGCUGAGGCGCGAAAGCUAGGGGAGCAAACGGG
rnacentral:rRNA from 1 species